AAAUGGGGCAGAAAAAGCAUUUGAAGAAAUAUUACUUGACAUUUUCCCAAAUUUGUUGGAAGAUACAAGUUAAAGAUCCAGGAAAACCAGGAAACUCUCUGCAGAACAACAAUAAGUCCAGUCAGAUCUUCAACAUCCUUCAGAAGUCUCCUCAACUUGAUCACUGGAUUUACUAGGUGUUCAUAAGAGUCCUUUGCAAUAAGACUCCCAGAUGCAGAUCUCCCUCUAUGAGUCCUGCUUAGAGAGCUGGUCAUAAGGUUUGGUUCUGGCAAAGCUUUUAGAAGUAACUCUCUGCUAAAGCCAAGUCUACUCAAUGUGCUUUGAAGAUAUGCUGUCUGUUCUUAUUUCUACCUGUCCCACUUGCAGAACUUGAAAUACCAUCCUCUGGCUUGAAAUCUGAUGUAAACUCUGAGGCACUAGGAAGCCUGAUUGUUACAAAGUUCACCCUCCUCUUCAAGUGCAGCCUGAGAGGAGAAGGAGGAGACAGUGAAUGAAAUUUUCCAUCGCCGCCUAAGUUAAAAGUCUGGUUCUUUAACACUAGCUGUGAUUCCUGUGUCUGUAAGUAGAAUGAUGAUUCUUCCAAGUGGGCCAUAUCAAUCAUAAUUGCACAGAAGGACAUUUUCCCACGUGCCAUGUUAUUGCAUGCAACAGAUGCUUUCAGAUCUGUAGCAAGUAGUAGGAACUUGUCGGGUGCCAAUGAAUCCUGGGUUCUGAUGUAUUACAUUCUAAAUAUCUUUAAAAACCACAAACACAAGUCUAGUAAUUAAGAAAUAUGUCCCAAUUAUAUGAGUCAAUCACUAUCCUUAAAAAAAAAUACACAAACACACUUCCAGUAAUUAAGAAAUAUAUCCCAAUUUAUGAAUCAAUCACUAUCCUUCCACAUCACUUCCUAAUUUCUAUUUACCAUCAGAACUCUGAUUUUGUCCAGAUACCUAGAGGUUUUAUGCUUCAUAGGAACUGAAUGCUGAUUGCUCCAAAACAGCUGUAGUAAUUCCACUUUCUUGAUGGUGAUUGGUUUAGGUAAAGUAGCAUGAUGCAAUUCUGACUAAUGAGCUAUAAUACACUGGGAAGGGUGAAUGGGAAAUUUUUCCUCCACUUUGAAAAAAGGGACAUAGGUGACAUUAGUCACUCUCCCUGGAAAAUCUUCAAUUGUGCAUGAUACCUGGACAGAAAGUAGUAUCUGGAAAUCAAAGCCAAUAAACUAACAAAGAACCAGAUAUUUUUCUGUAGUUCUUGGAUUUAUUGUUGAAUCCAUUCAUUGUAAUGCCCAAUGUACAAUGUAAUACAUCAUUUUAUGAUACAUUUUAAUGUAAAACUCUUAAAUAGGCAGAAUUCUCUCUGAUGGUUAUCACAAAAAUUAGGGGGAAAUUUUCCCCACCUGAAGUAAUAAUAAGCAGGAGAACCAGAAUUUUAAACUGAUGAACUAACUGCCUCUGGCUCUUCCUUCCUCUGGUCUAUUUACUUGUUUUCUGCAUCCAUAAGCUCUUGUUGUUUACAUCACUUGUAGAAGUAACCACUGCUCUACUUAUAGUCUAAAGCAUCAGAACUGUUGUAGAAAUUUACUAACAUGGGGUUGGGAUGCCUAAGAGUACAAAGUGAUGGACAGGUGUCUUAAUGAUUCUAGAGUUGUGCUCUCUUCACCUGGAAGACCCAUGUUUCAGUCACAUCUUCAAUGCUAUAAUAUGGUCUGUUUCUAAUGGAGCAUGUGCUCAAAUUAUUUUUAUGUUAAUGUUAAUGUUAAUGACUUGCAAUUUGUGGCAGUAAAAUGAAGUGGAAAGAGCAUUAGGCUGGAAGUCAGAAGACUUUGAUUCUUGGCCUUAUGUUGACACAGUCUCUGGGUGACCUUGGUCAGAAAGUUGAACACUGGCAUGAGGUUUUCUUAACUCCUAAAUCAGAAAUCUGCACCUGGCUAUCUCUAAUGGGGUUCUGGUUCUAAUUUUCUAGAGUUCAAACAUACAUGCCAUUUUCAUCCAAGAACUAGCAUCAGGCACUAUGACCCGGAGUAGUUCUAACAAGGGUAUGCUCCUACACCUGGUAUAUAGUUUUGUUAUUAAUACAAUGCUUACAGCUUCCUUAUAAACUUAUUUGGAUCACAAUACUGUGUGACCAGGAUCUGCUAAAAUGAGGCUCAUUGACCACUUGGUGGGGUCCUGGACAUAGCAAAGUGUAUAUGAAAGUAAGGACUUUGAGAGUGGCCGGCACUGGGCCAGUGUAUCAGCUGCUUUUGAAGUUACCUGGGUGAGGAUCAGAAGACAAAUAUUUGCAUCAUAUGACACUAGUAAUAGACAAAAUAUUCAAAUUAAAAACUGAAAAAAGCUAUUUUUUCCUUUUUCUUUAAGAUGAAGGAGCUAAGAAAAUCUUAUCCAGAAUUAUAAAAGUUAGUGUAAGAAAUACAAAAAUCUUAUAAUCAAAUCUCAGGACCAUCUAAGGAGUGAGUGACAAUUUCUUCACAGCUAUUACCUGUAACUUGCAUUACUGGUCCUUAUGAAAAGAGCUCCUCACAAGGUGUUAGCAGCAAAGCAGGUGAGAGUUAAAGUGGCUUAUAGUACCAUAAGCAAGAGACGCUGUUCCUAAGUGAAAAUUAGGAUCCAUAUUCACCUUUUCUGCUGAUGAGGUUAAGAAGGGUCUCUUGACCAGCAGCCCAUGGAUAAGCUGGGGUGUCCUGCAUGUCACCAAAACUGCUUUUGAUGUCAUCCCCGAAGCUGGCUGCAUUUGUUAAUGGGUUUGCUGCUGUAUUGCAUUUCUAGUGCAUGGUUUUGCUGUCCUUCAGUUCUGCACAAUAGUCCACCUAGAGAGGCACUCCUUAAACCACUUGGGAAUCAUAAGCUGAUCUUUAAAAAAAGAAAAAGUUCAAAAGAGAACGUGGUCACCAAGGUGACCAAGGUUUGGUUGAUAGAAGCUCUUUACACAGAAGACUGCAACAUCAGUACAAUCACCUCUUCACUAUUAAUACUCCAUGACAAAACAAGCAAGUGCAGAUGAAUGACAGGAUAUUUCCAAAUCUCAUUUUAUUCACCACUGCCAUUGGCUUAGAGCAAGAGGUCUGUGCUACCUUGAAACAUGCAUUUCCAUAUUAGACUAAGUCUGAGCAGUCAAAGCAGAUCAGGAAAAUGCUUUGGCAUGAUCUAGUAAAAGAACACAUCCUCAAGUGAACCCCAGUCUCUCCGUAGAUGAUCUCAUAUUUAUGUUUUCUCUUCCAUUUAAGUGGUAACACAGAACCUUUUUGAAUUUUUUAAACUGAGGUUAUGACAACUGAAUGAACAAUAGGAAACAGUAGAGUCUAAAUCAGUUAAAGAUGUUUAGUAAUAAAUAAGACCUAUUCACAAGUUCAACUGCAGGUUUGAUUUGCAAAACUGUGGUUAAAGGGUGAAGAAAAUAGGUAGCGUGAAUCUGCAUUUUUGGUGCCUGUCUGCACAGUAGCAGCCCCCUCAGGAUAGUCUGCCAUUUUCCUGUCCCCUGACCUCUCCUAAUGCUUCCUGCCCCUUUAUCCAUGUUAGCCUCAGUUAGUUGUUAAUUUCUUUCCUCCUAUUGGAAAAAGUAGCUGAGGGGAGAAAAGGUGAAACCAGGGGUGGUGACUAGACAGUGACUGGGCACUUCUUUCAUUAACACGUUUCCAGUACCUUCUGUUUAUUUACACUGUCACAUCCAUUUUAACCUUAAUGACCCAUCUGGAUAUUUACUGGCUGCGUUCUUGCUUUCCUGGUGCUUCUCUUUUCUUCUUUUCACAUGCAUGAAUUACUCUCAUGGCAGUGUUCUAAGAACAGCUUUCCUCACAACAACUUCUGUCCAAAUUGUAUUUUUCUUGAUGUUCAGGGUCUCCCCUAAUGUGAACCCACCUGACCUAGAUACUAUUUCUUCAUAUUUCCACCACAUCCCAAUGGUUAUAUUCACUACCUCAGUCAAUUGUUUCUCUGGGUCUCCUGACUACUUCUUGGUCAUGGCUCAAAUGUUCUGUUCCAUUUAUUGGAAAUUCCUCUCUUCUCACCUCUGCUUAUCUUAAAAGCAGUCCUUCUUCUAAAUUGAAAAACAUGUAAGAAACUUUUAAGUCACUUGCCUGUGACUUCUCUAGCAAAUAGCAGAGAUAGGAUUCAAACUCCAGAAGAUCAACUCAAGGGUCUUUGCUCCUGAUUGUUGUUAAAUGAAUAUUCAAUCUAAAAAUUUGAAAUGGGGCUUAAUAAUUUCAUUCAUGUUGUAGAAUUUGGAGAUGCUGAUUAAUGUAAGCACUUAGUGUAAACUUGGGGCUUCUUAAGGCAAUUUCAGAAAUCUUGCAUAAAUAAGUGGAACUCAAUUUUAGUGCUAAUUUUCAUCCUAAGUUUGAAUAUUAGGCAACCAAAGCCAUAAUUACAUAAAUGGAACUAACUUAAGAAGAAAAUAAUAUUUUAAUAUGUAAAAGAUGUUGUUCAUGGGAUAGUAACGAUUCUCUAAGAAAACAACUCAAGGCAAAAUUAGAGUUAUCUACUUAUUUUUAGAAGUGAAAUAAGAUAAACUGCCAUGUGUUUGCUGAUUUUAAAAUUAUCCAUCUGUUAUGUGGUAACAAUGUAACAUUAGUCACUAAACCACAGGAAAGUUGGAAGUAAAUACAAAGUUAUUAGGCUUAGAUACGAAUACAAUGCCUCAGGGAGAAAAAUCAAUAAUGCUACUAUUAAGUAUUUCCAUUCUGAAUAAUUAUUAAUGUAGAGUUUGGUAUAUUUUGAAUCAGCAGUCAUCUCUUUAAAAUACUUAAGAAUUAUUAUGUGCAGCUUAAUAAUGGUAUGAAACAUUGUGGUAUGGAAGUAGAAAAGAAAAAAGAAAACAUUUAAAAACUAAAACCAAAGGAAAAAAAUCAUUAAAUGUCAUGCUACAAGUCAUUAUUGAAGGUAAUUAACAUGAAUAUGAUGUUUAUACUUGAUUGUUCAUUUCAGGAAUUUUAUUUUGGAAAUAAAACAAAAAGAACCUGGAGAAAGAUAUGGGUAGAGGAAAGAGAUUCUAGAGAUUGUCCACAGUUAAUGUGAAAUAAAAGAAAAAUGUACAAAAUUACUUUGUUUGGACAACUAGUCUUUGAAUGUUAAAGAUAAUCAUCAGAAAUAACAAAAGCUUUUCAGUAGUUAUGGAAUACUUACUAUAGAUUGAGCUGUAUACUGUCUUUUUCAAAUCUUCCAAGAAGGUUUGAGGUUAGCAAUAUUAUAUACUGUUUACUAAAAAUAAAAUUGUACACUGAGGCUAUGUAUUGUAUUAUUUAAGUCUUAUAAGGCUUAAGGUUGGCAAGAUUAUAUCCUAAAUUUACUAAAAAUAAAAUGGUAUUUUGAGGAAGUUUCCUCAAAUAUAUCUUACAAAACAUCUGAAUAAAAUGAAAAAAAUAACCAAAUCCUUGGGAAUUCUUUGCAGAUGUUAAUGAAACAUCUGGGUGGUGGUAGAACCUCAAAAUAAGACCUUAAAAUAAAAGUGGUGUUAAAUAUACAAAAGUUCUUUUGGGAAUGCACAUAAUUUAGUAGCUAAUAUUACUAUUAGUUGGAACAAUUGGUGUAUAUUGCACCAUUCAAGAAUAUUGAGAGUGAUUUUCAUUUUCUUGAUGAUGGUUUUUAUGUAGUAGAUCAAGCUUUCAAUUUCACUAAAGUAAAUUUUGAUUUGAUUUACCUAUUUUUUUUUUAAAUGUUUCUUGGUUACUCCUAAUAAUUAAAUGUUUUUACAAUAGUUAAUUCAUUUAAGCCUGUGUAACAAAGAAUUUACAAGUAGUUUUAUUGGUUUUCCUUUCUGUGGUCAUGAUUUUUUACACUGUGAAUUUGUGUUGUUUUGGCUUGUAAUAAAGAAAGGAGUUGCUUCC